rnacentral:rRNA from 1 species
GACGUAGGUGGCGAGCGUUGUCCGGAAUUACUGGGCGUAAAGGGCGUGUAGGCGGCCUUUCAAGUCAGGCGUGAAAUUCCUGGGCUCAACCCAGGGGCUGCGCUUGAGACUGGAGGGCUUGAGGACAGGAGAGGGAAGCGGAACUCCGUGUGUAGCGGUGAAAUGCGUAGAUAUACGGAAGAACACCAGUGGCGAAGGCGGCUUCCUGGACUGUCCCUGACGCUGAGGCGCGAAAGCCAGGGGAGCGAACGGG